rnacentral:rRNA from 1 species
UACGAAGGGGGCUAGCGUUGUUCGGAUUUACUGGGCGUAAAGCGCACGUAGGCGGAUAUUAAGUCAGGGGUGAAAUCCCGGGGCUCAACCCCGGAACUGCCUUUGAUACUGGGUAUCUCGAGUCCGAGAGAGGUGAGUGGAAUUCCGAGUGUAGAGGUGAAAUUCGUAGAUAUUCGGAGGAACACCAGUGGCGAAGGCGGCUCACUGGCUCGGUACUGACGCUGAGGUGCGAAAGCGUGGGGAGCAAACAGG